AUGCCUCUGUACAUUGUGUCAGACCGGGACCCUGUCUUCACCAGCAAUUUUUGGCAAAUUUUGGUCAAGAGAACUGGAGCUGUCCUUAACAUGAGCACUGCAUACCAUCCGGAGACUGAUGAUCAGACCGAGCGAGUGAAUCAACAAGUUGAGUGUUUCCUGAUAUGCUUUAUCAGUGGCCACCCCAGCAAGUGGUCCAAGUGGCUUCCCCUGUGUGAAUUCUGGUACAAUACAAACUGA
rnacentral:rRNA from 1 species